CUCACCUCUCCUGGUCCUUCUCCAGGGCUUCCUGCUCAGCCUCCAGGCUAGCCUGGAGCCCUGACUGCUCUCUGCUGCCACUGUUCAGACUGGCAAGUUUCUGCCUCUGCUCUUCAAUCUCCAUGCCCAGGGUGGAGUGCCUCUGCAGCGCAGAAUGUCUCCUCUCCAGCCUGGCCAGGGCCCGCUCCAGCGCCUCUCUCUGCUGCUUCUCUCUGGACUCCAAAAUCUCCUUUUCCUUUUUCCUCACUUUUUCCUCCUGACGUGCAAUGUUGGCAGUGAAUUCAAAGGUGGCUUGGAGCUUUUGCAGCUGGUUUGCAUUGGCCUGGUACUGUGCAAGCUGUUCUUCUUUUUCUUCCAUUUCCUUUUCUACUUGAUAAAGAGUGUUGUCUAAGCUGAGAGGGCCUCUGUCAAGAAUUUCAAAUGCUCUCUGCUUUUCUUCCAACAGAGUUGGCAAGUGAUUCUGCAGGAGCUGCUCUUCCAGAUGGGCCACGAGCAUGACCUGCUCCUUCUCCUGCUCCUCUAGUCUCUUUUUUUCCAGUUCAAGCUUGGCAUACUGUUCAUCUUUUUCCUUUUGGAGCUGGUCCAGUUCUUGAAAUAUCUGAAACUUCUCAGCCUUCUCGUUGUUGUUGAGUUCUUUGAGUCGUUGGAGUUCUUCUUGGACGCGGAGAAAGGUCUCUUCUUCUUGUCUCUUCUUCUGCAGCUCGAUUUCCUGCUGUUCCCUCAGCCUCUCCUCUUCAAAUUUUUCCUUCUCCGCAAGUAAAUCCUUUAGCUUGUUCUCGAUGUGGAAGCUGCGGCGUUUGAGGCUCUCCUCCUGCUUGCGAAUCUGGAGCUGCACGAUUUCUGUCUCCUUGCGCUGGGUCUCCACCUCCUGCUGCAUCCGCUCCAGUUCAGCCUUGUCUGAUUUCUGCUUUUCCUCCAUUUCUUCUAUGAGUUUCCUGAAAUGCAAAGCACUGACUGGUUGUUAUCUGGUCAUUGUUCAAAUGUUGCUCUAACUUUACUGAAAUGUUCUGAAAAUGCACAUACAAC
rnacentral:lncRNA from 1 species